rnacentral:rRNA from 1 species
AUUGAACGCUGGCGGCGUGCCUAAUACAUGCAAGUCGAACGAGGUGCUUUUGUAGCAAUACGAGAGUAUCCUAGUGGCGAACGGGUGAGUAACGCGUUGGUGACCUACCCCAAAGUGUGGGAUAACAGUCCGAAAGGAUUGCUAAUACCGCAUGUGGUCUUCGGAUUUAGAAACUGAUGACUAAAGGAGCAAUUCGCUUUGGGAGGGACCUGCGUCCCAUCAGCUAGUUGGUGAGGUAAUGGCUCACCAAGGCUACGACGGGUAGGGGACCUGAGAGGGUGACCCCCCACAAUGGAACUGAAACACGGUCCAUACACCUACGGGUGGCAGCAGUAGGGAAUAUUGCACAAUGGGCGAAAGCCUGAUGCAGCAACGCCGCGUGUGCGAUGAAGGCCUUCGGUCGUAAGCACUUUCUGGGAGAUGAGCAAGGACAGUAUCUCAGGAAUAAGUCUC